rnacentral:rRNA from 1 species
GCGCACGUAGGCGGACUUUUAAGUCAGAUGUGAAAUCCCAAGGCUCAACCUUGGAACUGCAUUUGAAACUGGGAGUCUAGAGAUCAGGAGAGGUCAGUGGAAUACCGAGUGUAGAGGUGAAAUUCGUAGAUAUUCGGUGGAACACCAGUGGCGAAGGCGACUGACUGGACUAUUUCUGACGCUGAGGUGCGAAAGUGUGGGGAGCAAACAGGAUUAGAUACCCUGGUAGUCCACACCGUAAACGAUGAGAGCUAGUUGUCAGCAAGCAUGCUUGUUGGUGACGCAGCUAACGCAUUAAGCUCUCCGCCUGGGGAGUACGGUCGCAAGAUUAAAACUCAAAGAAAUUGACGGGGGCCCGCACAAGCGGUGGAGCAUGUGGUUUAAUUCGAAGCAACGCGCAGAACCUUACCCACCUUUGACAUCCUAUGCUCACUCCAGAGAUGGAGUUUUCUUCGGACAUAGUGACAGGUGCUGCAUGGCU